UCAGGAGCCAUGCUGCUGUUGCUGACCUUGGCUCUCCUUGCUGGUGCCACCUGCAGAGCCCAGAAUGUACUGGACAAUAAUAUCGGCACCUAUUUCUACAUUGUUGAUGAAGGGAAGGGGGAAAUCAAGUCCAUUCGGAUCUUCUAUACAGCAGCAAGACGCCUCAAUGGCAUCCAGCUGCAGUUUCAAAAUCACUGGAGUGAUGUCCAUGGAAUACGUUCA